rnacentral:rRNA from 1 species
GACGAACGCUGGCGGCGUGCUUAACACAUGCAAGUCGAGCGGAAAGGCCCUUCGGGGUACUCGAGCGGCGAACGGGUGAGUAACACGUGAGUAACCUGCCCCAGACUUUGGGAUAACCCUCGGAAACGGGGGCUAAUACCGGAUACGACACAGCUUCGCAUGGGGUCUGUGUGUAAAGUUUUUCGGUUUGGGAUGGGCUCGCGGCCUAUCAGCUUGUUGGUGGGGUGAUGGCCUACCAAGGCGACGACGGGUAGCCGGCCUGAGAGGGCGACCGGCCACACUGGGACUGAGACACGGCCCAGACUCCUACGGGAGGCAGCAGUGGGGAAUAUUGCACAAUGGGCGGAAGCCUGAUGCAGCGACGCCGCGUGAGGGAUGACGGCCUUCGGGUUGUAAACCUCUUUCAGCAGGGACGAAGCGUAAGUGACGGUACCUGCAGAAGAAGCGCCGGCCAACUACGUG